rnacentral:rRNA from 1 species
CCCUUAGAUGUUCUGGGCGGCCCGCGCACUACACUGGCACUCUCAAUCAGAGCCUGGAUCUAACACUUUGGGGUAUUCUAUGAAGUGGUGUCGUGACUGGGAUUAACCCUUGCAAUUAUUGGUUACGAACGAGGAAUUCCUUGUAAUCGCGGUUUAUCAGCCCGCGUUGAAUGCGUCCCUGCCCUUUGUACACACCGCCCGUCGCCCCUACCGAUGGAUCGUCCGGUGAAGCUCAUGGAGGGGCGGUUGUCUCAGCUGCCGUCGAAGUGAAAUGGACCUCACGAUCUAGAGGAAGGAGAAGUCGUAACA